ensembl:misc_RNA Metazoa_SRP Metazoan signal recognition particle RNA
ACAAAGCAUGGUGGUGCAGGCCUGUAGUUCCAGCUACAUGGGAGGCUGAGGCAGGAGGAUCCCUUCAUCCCAAGAGUUCUGGGCUAUAGUGCACUAUGCCAAACAGGUUUCUACACUAAGUUUGGCAUCAAUAUGGUGACCUCCUAGGAACAGGGGACCACCAGGAUGACUAAGGAGUGGUGAACCAGCCUAGGUCAGAAACAGAGCAGAUUAAAACUCUGGUGCUAGCCAGGCGCUGUGGCUCAUACCUAUAAUCCCAGCACUUUGGGAGGCCGAGGGGAGCGGAUCACCU